AUUAACAUCAGAGGAACAUUGUUCACUAGAAAAUAACAUUGGACCAACUAACUAGAUAACAAUAGAGAAAUAGAAAGUUUGUAUUCAAAUUGUAUUAAGUUUUUUUAGAUUCUGUGUGUUGUAAAAAAUGUAUUGUUUUCAUAGAGAUGUUUAUUUUUUAAACUAUAAAAAUUCUACCUGAAAUCUUACUCUGAAGUGUCAAGUAUCACCAUUUCUGAAAGGUAAUUUUCCUGAGGUGGUACUUUAAGGUGCCCAUUUUUA